ACUCAAAGGAAUAGACGGGGAACCGCACAAGCAGAGGAGGAUGUGGUUUAAUAUGACGCUACGCGUAGAACCUUACCAAGGCUUGACAUCCUUGGAACCCACUGGAAACAGAGGGGUGCCGCAAGGAGCCAAGUGACAGGUGCUGCAUGGCCGUCGUCAGCUCGUGUCGUGAGAUGUUGGGUUAAGUCCCGCAACGAGCGCAACCCUUAUCGUAUGUUGUAUUUUUCAUGCGAGACUGCCCGGGCCAACCGGGAGGAAGAUGGGGAUGAAGUCAGGUCGGCAUGGCCCUUACGCCUUGGGCUACACACGUCCUACAAUGGCCAGUACAACGCGCUGCAAACCCGCGAGGGGGAGCAAAUCGCAUCAAAACUGGUCCCAGUUCGGAUUGCAGGCUGCAACUCGCCUGCAUGAAGUCGGAUUUGCUAGUAACCGUGGGUCAGCAUACCACGGUGAAUACGUUCCCGGUUCUUGUACACACCGCCCGU
rnacentral:rRNA from 1 species